rnacentral:rRNA from 1 species
GAGUUUGAUCCUGGCUCAGGAUGAACGCUGGCGGCGUGCUUAACACAUGCAAGUCGAACGAAGCACUUUAUUUGAUUUCCUUCGGGACUGAUUAUUUUGUGACUGAGUGGCGGACGGGUGAGUAACGCGUGGGUAACCUGCCUUGUACAGGGGGAUAACAGUUGGAAACGGCUGCUAAUACCGCAUAAGCGCACGGCAUCGCAUGAUGCAGUGUGAAAAACUCCGGUGGUAUAAGAUGGACCCGCGUUGGAUUAGCUAGUUGGUGGGGUAACGGCCCACCAAGGCGACGAUCCAUAGCCGGCCUGAGAGGGUGAACGGCCACAUUGGGACUGAGACACGGCCCAGACUCCUACGGGAGGCAGCAGUGGGGAAUAUUGCACAAUGGGGGAAACCCUGAUGCAGCGACGCCGCGUGAAGGAAGAAGUAUCUCGGUAUGUAAACUUCUAUCAGCAGGGAAGAUAGUGACGGUACCUGACUAAGAAGCCCCGGCUAACUACGUGCCAGCCGCCGCGGUAAUUC